UACGUAGGGUGCAAGCGUUGUCCGGAAUUAUUGGGCGUAAAGAGCUCGUAGGCGGUUUGUCGCGUCUGCUGUGAAAACCCGAGGCUCAACCUCGGGCCUGCAGUGGGUACGGGCAGACUAGAGUGCGGUAGGGGGAGAUUGGAAUUCCUGGUGUAGCGGUGGAAUGCGCAGAUAUCAGGAGGAACACCAAUGGCGAAGGCAGAUCUCUGGGACCGUAACUGACGCUGAGGAGCGAAAGCAUGGGGAGCGAACAGG
rnacentral:rRNA from 1 species